rfam:Oryza barthii chromosome 2, whole genome shotgun sequence.
AAUAAGUGCAGUUUUGCAUUAUUCAUGUUUAAUGAUUGACCGUUCGUCUUAUUUGAAAAAAUUUUAUGAUUAGUAUUUUUAUUGCUAUUAGAUAAAAUAUGAAUAUUACUUUAUGUGUGACUAAAUAUUUUCAAAUUUUUCACAAAUUUUUUAAAUAAGACGGACGGUUAAACGUUAGGCAUAGAUAUCCACGCUGCACUUAUU